rnacentral:rRNA from 1 species
CACUCCUACGGGAGGCAGCAGUGGGGAAUUUUGGACAAUGGGCGGAAGCCUGAUCCAGCAAUGCCGCGUGAGUGAAGAAGGCCUUCGGGUUGUAAAGCUCUUUUGUCAGGGAAGAAACGGUGAGAGCUAAUAUCUCUUGCUAAUGACGGUACCUGAAGAAUAAGCACCGGCUAACUACGUGCCAGCAGCCGCGGUAAUACGUAGGGUGCAAGCGUUAAUCGGAAUUACUGGGCGUAAAGCGUGCGCAGGCGGUUUUGUAAGUCUGAUGUGAAAUCCCCGGGCUCAACCUGGGAAUUGCAUUGGAGACUGCAAGGCUAGAAUCUAGCAGAGGGGGGUAGAAUUCCACGUGUAGCAGUGAAAUGCGUAGAUAUGUGGAGGAACACCGAUGGCGAAGGCAGCCCCCUGGGUCAAGAUUGACGCUCAUGCACGAAAGCGUGGGGAGCAAACAGGAUUAGAUACCCUGGUAGUCCCA